CUCCUUUUAAAAGCACUCAAUGGGCCUUUUCUAAUACCUCAUUGAGCUGUCAAGAAAGGGCAAAUUGGCUCAGCUUGAGCGGCUAAGG
rnacentral:snoRNA from 1 species